rnacentral:tmRNA from 1 species
GGGACGCCGUGGCCGGCGCGGUCGGCAGGGUCACCGAGGCGCACACGGUCAGGGCGAGCAGGGUGGACGUUCUGCGCACCGUCGCCGGCAUUGCGUCGACUCCCGGAGUACGAGGGUGAGGGGGCCGCGCCUGCCGCAGCCCCCUCUACUGUCAGUAGAUGCUACUGACACUCCUCGUGACCUCCGGGAGAUCGGUGACGCGUGUUACUCGCCGACCGAGCCGUCGACCGCCUGACGGAGGAGGUCGGCGUGACCGCAGUGCCGGGCGUACUCCUCGAUCAUGUGCGUGACGAUCCACCGCAGGCUCGGGGUCUGACCGGUCCGGUGCACCCGCUGGGCGAGCUGGCUCAGGUCGCCCUGCGCCAGAGCCUUCACGACGGCUGCGCGCGACCGGUCGACUGAGGUCUGCCAGAGCGCGAGAACCUGCUCCGGGGUGUCGUCCGCGGCCGAGUGCCAGUCCCAGUCGGAGUCGGCGUUCCAGUCCACGGUGUCCCA